rnacentral:rRNA from 1 species
AUUGAACGCUGGCGGCAGGCUUAACACAUGCAAGCCGAGCGGAGCGAAGGUGCUUGCACCUUAGCUUAGCGGCGGACGGGUGAGUAAUGCUUAGGAAUCUGCCUAUUAGUGGGGGACAACGUUUCGAAAGGAACGCUAAUACCGCAUACGUCCUACGGGAGAAAGCAGGGGAUCUUCGGACCUUGUGCUAAUAGAUGAGCCUAAGUCGGAUUAGCUAGUUGGUGGGGUAUAGGCCUACCAAGGCGACGAUCUGUAGCGGGUCUGAGAGGAUGAUCGGCCACACUGGGACUGAGACACGGCCCAGACUCCUACGGGAGGCAGCAGUGGGGAAUAUUGGACAAUGGGCGAAAGCCUGAUCCAGCCAUGCCGCGUGUGUGAAGAAGGCCUUUUGGUUGUAAAGCACUUUAAGCGAGGAGGAGGAGCUUCAGGUUAAUACCCUGGAUGCUUGGACGUUACUCGCAGAAUAAGCACCGGCUAACUCUGUGCCAGCAGCCGCGGUAA